GUUGCAGUCAAAAAACCCCAGGGUGAAAUCAGCACGCUGAGACGCAGCCAUGAAGUCUUGCUGACCUGGUGACCUUGAUGGAAAGCUUUGUUACUCAGCUGGAACGAGAAAGAUGCUGCAGCUGGGUAGAAGAAACCUCUGCAAGAGUUUUAGCCAUCCCUGUGUACCACAAAAGACUGCAUAGGCCAAUAACAUCAAGAAACUCUUGCUCUAAAAUCAUAAAGCAGAGGAUCAUAGUCUGUAUAUGUACUGCUAAAAUCCACGCACCUUUCUAUGGUGAACUGAGCAUAAAUAAGUGUGCCUGG
rnacentral:lncRNA from 1 species